rnacentral:rRNA from 1 species
UUGACGGGGCCGCACAAGCGGUGGAGCAUGUGGUUAAUUCGAUGCAACGCGAAGAACCUUACCUGGGCUUGACAUCCCGGGAAUCCCCUGGAAACAGGGAGUGCCCUUCGGGGAACCCGGUGACAGGUGCUGCAUGGCUGUCGUCAGCUCGCGUCGUGAGAUGUUGGGUUAAGUCCCGCAACGAGCGCAACCCUUGUCUUUAAUUGCCAUCAUUUAGUUGGGCACUUUAAAGAGACUGCCGGUGUUAAGCCGGAGGAAGGUGGGGAUGACGUCAAGUCCUCAUGACCUUUAUAUCCAGGGCUACACACACGCUACAAUGGCCAGUACAAUGGGUUGCCAAGCCGCGAGGCGGAGCCAAUCCUAAAAAGCUGGCCUCAGUUCAGAUUGCAGUCUGCAACUCGACUGCAUGAAGUUGGAGUUGCUAGUAACCGCAGGUCAGCAAUACUGCGGUGAAUACGUUCCCGGGGAUU